rnacentral:rRNA from 1 species
GACGAACGCUGGUGGCGUGCUUAACACAUGCAAGUCGAGCGGUAAGGCCCUUUCGGGGGUACACGAGCGGCGAACGGGUGAGUAACACGUGGGUGACCUGCCCUCAGCUCUGGGAUAAGCCUGGGAAACCGGGUCUGAUACUGGAUAUGACUCCAUGACGCAUGUUGUGGGGUGGAAAGUCUUGUGCGGCUGAGGAUGGGCCCGCGGCCUAUCAGCUUGUUGGUGGGGUGAUGGCCUACCAAGGCGA